GAUUGCUUGGGCGUGGUAUUAGACAGUCAUGAGAUGUAAUCCAUAGUAUACCGAAAAAUUACUUAACAAGAAAAAACAACAACAUGAAAAAGGAAUCACGUACUUUCUCAAAACAUACUCCAUUGGCACUGACCUAUUUUAAGCGAAAUGGAGAGUCGGGUGGGACAAGUGUUAUAUGCAAGCGGAGUUAUGGCCCUUCAAGGUAAAUCAUUGCUGUUUAUCUCAGAGUGGGUGCCUUAGGUGCAGUGAUAAUUGGAGCAUAUGGUCAGAGAUUGAGGUGGGCCCCAUGGCCUGUUUGUGUCCGGGAGCUGCGUU